ensembl:lncRNA LINC02297 long intergenic non-protein coding RNA 2297
GGGAAGGCUGCCUAAGCCAGAGAGCUUCACAGGGAGCCUUGAUGUCUGAGUAAGAAUUAACCAGGUGAAGCAGAAGGGGAAAUAGGCUCUAGGAAAAGAGAGCUUUGAGCGCAAAGGCAGGCAGAGUGUGAGGAGAGGAGGCCUUACUUCCUUGUGACUGCAGCAUGAAGUUUGUUCAUAUAUCACGUAGCAAUUACCAGCCUUGUCUGGCUGACAUAUACCUGAGGGAGUGUGGAAAGUGCCGAAUGCCUGAAGAUAAAUCAACUCUUCCUCUGGGAGGGCACGGAUAAACAACUUCAUCGAUGUGCUUCAGGUUACCAUUUGAAAAGGCAGUAGAGAUAUGUAUAAAGGCUUCCAGCUUUGGCAUCUGACUAGCCGUAAGAGCUUCUGGGUGGCAGUGAUGUUAAGUUGCACAGCAUGUCUACAGAAGAUUAAGCAGAAGGAAAUACAGUGAGAUAAGUCAGCAUCAUGCCUUGCUAUAACUGCACCUACUCCCAUAACUGGCAUACCUAUCAGAUUUUGGUGGCUGCACCAAAACACCAGGAAGAAAAGGAUGGGGCACGGCUGCACACUUAUGUGAUACUUGGAAUGUCUUAUGUAUUGAUGAUGUGUUUGUGUACAUAAACCCUAUUCACUGAUGCACUGUAUGGCAUAUUUAGAGGUCACUUGGCUCUAAUCAACUGGAAAAAGAAUCACAAUCCUCUGAAUUUACAAAGGUGCUUCUAUAAGCAGCCAUUAAAAGAACAAAAACAUGUAAAUUAAGCAUCUAACUGAAGAAAUUGGAAAAUAUAAAUAAACUGGAGAGAAGCAACAGUGGAUUUUUAAAUGAGCAAUAUAAGUUGUUAUAAAGUUCCAGGCCAGACAUGAAAAUUGAUGUCAAAAUCUGAAAUUGCAACUACUGGAAUACAAAGCUAUAUAGACAGUAUGUGAUAACAAUGAAAUACUUCAUUCUAGGAAUACAUGGUUUAUCGAAUACCAGGAAACUUAUUAAUUUAAUUUAACUCAAAAAGAGAAAAACUAUAUAAUAAUCUGUAUGUAUUUUGAAAAGUUUAAGACGAUGUUUAGUUUUCAUUUCCAAUUUCAUUAAAUGAAUUCACUAGAAUAGGAAUAAAAUGAUUAAACAAUAUGUAUUUAAUUUGCUAGCCAAUGUCAUUCUUAAUGGUGAAAAGCUAGGAAUACUGCUCGUAAAGCCAGGGCUAGAAAUAAUGCCUGCAGUCACAACUACUACUUAACAUUGUUCUGAGGUCCUAGCCUUGUAAGUAAUUAGAAAGAAAACUAAAAUUAAUGAAGAAAUAUAGAUAUUAAAAAGACAGUCACAAAAAUUACUAUAGGAUUAUAUAAUUGCAUACCUGGAAAACAGAAGCAGCUUUUUUAAAAAGCUAAAGUGUACUAUAGUUCAGUAAGGUGUCCACUGAUAAAAAUUAUAUAAAAAGGCCAGGCACAGUGGCUCAAGCCUUAAUCCCAGCACUUUGGGAGGCUGAGGCAGGCGGAUC